CCGACUUACUGCGCGCCCGGCGCGGGGCCGGGGGGAGAGGGGGCACCGGGGAGCGGGGCUGCCCGCACGGCCUCAUUCCCGCAGACGAAUCCCUGCUAACACUUCCCCGAUUACUGCUUCCAGGAACGAAAGCAUCUGCACUUGUACGCUCUUAAACUAAUUUAUGGUGGGAAUUAUAUUUUGGCUUGUCAACUCUCAAGCCAUAAAACAAAGUUUAUUGGAAUCACGUGCUCCUAAAUAGCCACUCAGGACCUAUCUCUGCGGAACCAUAAAUAACCUUCGGCUUUAAACUUUUAUUCGCUAAAUAAAGGUCCGCCGGCUGCUCUGUAAGCGGGUGCGGGGGCGGGCGGCUGGUCAGCUACGCGACGGCUUUGGGGGGAGCAUCCCACAGGGCGGUGGGUGUGUUCCCUGUCCCUUGGGCGGGGGGCGGUACCCCUCUCUGAGUGCCACCUCUGGAGGCACAGAGGAGCGCGUCGGGACAAAACGCGGAGUUAGCGCGGGGCGGGGGUCCGUCCCCCCCCCGGGUGUUUGUGGCAUUUCAGUCAGACGGCCCUGGAAAGUGGUUUUGGCUCAUUCCGUUCGAGCUGUGCCGCGGCUGCGGGCUCGCCAGGCACCGAGGGGCGUCUGCGAGCGACCAAACUGCUGGGAGCAGCGGGCACCGGGCUUUGGGAGAGAGGGAAGUGUGAAGGCUGCCGCAAUUAGAUCUUUGAGGACUGGAAGUUUGAGGAGAGCUAUAAAACAAUAAAACAGCUCUGGUGUGAAGGGAGCAGGGUGUGAGUUAGCAAAUGAGAAUUUCAAGGAGCCCGAGCACAGGAAGUCAAACGUCCCUGGAGUCUCACGGCCGCGUCCGCACAAAGAACCCGGGCAAUAGCUCUCUAUCACGGCUCCGAAGCGGCCCAAAGCUGCUGAAGCCCGGGCCGGGGAGGGUGGUCCUUCUCGAGGGGGAACGGGCCACGGUCGCCCCGUCGGGGUCCGGCAGCGCACGGCCGCGGACAGCAGCACAUCUCUCCGACUCUGCCUCUGGGGCUCUGCUCUGCACAGCCCGGCCCGCGGCGGGGGGCACCGGCCGGCACCUGCCUAACGCCGGGGCGGGGUCUCCCCUGCUCUGCGCUCGCUGGGCCGAGGAAGUGAUCCCAGGCACCGAAGUCUGAGUUUAAUUAAAACGGGCCCUUAGUUCUCGCCCGACUCCUUAGCUUGUUCGACUCUUGUUCGAUGCCCUCAGCCACUCGGCAUCACCCACCGGCUCCCGGCCCGUGCCUCCCGCCCGCUGCGAGGGCAGGUGGCUGCUACCCUGGCUGCUCAGAGGGCCGGCAGAGCUCGUGAGGUGGAGAUGCGAAAGUUGACUUUGAAGCCCUGGCCAGUUCCUUCCCCGGGCUUGUAUGGCAGCUCCCGUUUUCGGGGCUGAUGAUCUGGAGACGGAUAAAGUGUGGAAUGAAGAAACCCCAUAAUAAUUGCUUUCCUUCCGGCAACGGUUGCGAUAAAAGGGUUGGGGAAAUGGAAUCGCACGGGUCGCCCUUGCUGCUCCGUGCCAGACGCUACGACAGCAUCCUGCCCCCAGGACCGCGCCGCCACAAAAUGACAGGCUCCGACUCUCUCUUUGAACAACUGCGCGCCUUGAUAGCGUCCAACGCAUUAUCGCUCCGUGCUUUUAUCGCUGCUUCGACUUUCCGCCCAUUCCCCGUGCAGGAUGUGGGCACGCAGAGGCCCGGGGCGGCCCCGGCGGCAGCG
ensembl:lncRNA